rnacentral:rRNA from 8 species
UUAAGUUAACAAGGGCGCAUGGUGAAUGCCUUGGCACUAGGAGCCGAUGAAGGACGGGACUAACACCGAUAUGCUUCGGGGAGCUGUACGUAAGCUAUGAUCCGGAGAUUUCCGAAUGGGGCAACCCAGCAGUUUUAAUCAACUGUUACCACUAGAUGAAUUCAUAGUCUAGUUGGAGGUAAACGCUGUGAACUGAAACAUCUCAUUAGCAGCAGGAAUAUAAAGAAAUUUCGAUUCCCUAAGUAGCGGCGAGCGAACGGGGAACAGCCCAAACCAAAGUGCUUGCACUUUGGGGUUGUAGGACUGAACAUUUGAGUUACCAAAGAACUUGAUAGUCGAAGGAUUUGGGAAAAUCCGCCAUAGAUGGUGAUAGCCCAGUAGAUUAAAUCAAAUUCUCUCAGUUCAGGAUCCUGAGUACGGCGGAACACGUGAAAUUCCGUCGGAAUCCGGGAGGACCAUCUCCCAAGGCUAAAUACUACCUAGUGACCGAUAGUGAACCAGUACCGUGAGGGAAAGGUGAAAAGCACCCCGGGAGGGGAGUGAAAUAGUUCCUGAAACCAUGUGCCUACAAUAAGUCAGAGCGCGUUAAUGCGUGAUGGCGUGCCUUUUGUAGAAUGAACCGGCGAGUUAUGAUCCCGUGCAAGGUUAAGACUAAAAAGUCGGAGCCGUAGCGAAAGCGAGUCUGAAAUGGGCGUUUUGAGUACGAGGUUAUAGACCCGAAACCAGGUGACCUAUCCAUGUCCAGGUUGAAGGUGCGGUAAAACGCACUGGAGGACCGAACCCGUGUAAGUUGAAAAUUGCUGGGAUGAGGUGUGGAUAGCGGUGAAAUUCCAAACGAACUUGGAGAUAGCUGGUUCUCUCCGAAAUAGCUUUAGGGCUAGCCUCGGAAUUAGGAUCAUGGAGGUAGAGCACUAUUUGGACUAGGGGCCCGUCUUGGGUUACUGAAUUCAGAUAAACUCCGAAUGCCAUUGAUUCAUAUCCGGGAGUCAGACGAUGAGUGAUAAGAUCCACCGUCGAAAGGGGAACAGCCCAGACCAUCAGUUAAGGUCCCUAAAUGUAUGCUAAGUGGAAAAGGAUGUGGAGUUGCAUAGACAACUAGGAUGUUGGCUCAGAAGCAGCCACCAUUUAAAGAGUGCGUAAUAGCUCACUAGUCGAGUGAUCCUGCGCCGAAAAUGUACCGGGGCUAAGCAUACUACCGAAACCAUGGAUGCGACCAUUAGGUCGCGUGAUAGGAGAGCGUUCUAAGGGCGGUGAAGCAAGAUCGUGAGGACUUGUGGAGCGCUUAGAAGUGAGAAUGCCGGUAUGAGUAGCGAAAGAUAGGUGAGAAUCCUAUCCACCGAAUGACUAAGGUUUCCUGGGGAAGGCUCGUCCUCCCAGGGUUAGUCGGGACCUAAGUCGAGGCCGAGAGGCGUAGACGAUGGAUAACAGGUUGAGAUUCCUGUACUAGUUAAGUGCGUUUGAGCAAUGGAGGGACGCAGGAGGCUAAGAUGUGCAUUCUGUUGGAUUAGAAUGUCCAAGCAGUAAGUCUUGUGAAGAGUCAAAUGCUUUUCACUUUAAGGACAAGCUGUGAUGGGGAGCGAAAUUUAGUAGCGAAGCGUCUGAUGUCACACUGCCGAGAAAAGCUUCUAGUGAGUACUUAACUACCCGUACCGCAAACCGACACAGGUAGUCGAGGAGAGAAUCCUAAGGUGAGCGAGUGAACUCUCGUUAAGGAACUCGGCAAAAUGACCCCGUAACUUCGGGAGAAGGGGUGCUGAUCGCAAGAUCAGCCGCAGUGAAUAGGCCCAGGCGACUGUUUAUCAAAAACACAGGUCUCUGCAAAAUCGUAAGAUGACGUAUAGGGGCUGACGCCUGCCCGGUGCUGGAAGGUUAAAAGGAUGGGUUAGCUUCGGCGAAGCUCAGAAUUGAAGCCCCAGUAAACGGCGGCCGUAACUAUAACGGUCCUAAGGUAGCGAAAUUCCUUGUCGGGUAAGUUCCGACCCGCACGAAAGGCGUAACGAUCUGGGCACUGUCUCAACGAGAGACUCGGUGAAAUUAUAUUGUCCGUGAAGAUGCGGACUACCCGCGACAGGACGGAAAGACCCCAUGGAGCUUUACUGUAGCUUGAUAUUGAGUGUUUGUACAGCUUGUACAGGAUAGGUAGGAGCCAUAGAAACCGGAACGCUAGUUUCGGUGGAGGCGUUGGUGGGAUACUACCCUCGCUGUAUGACCACUCUAACCCGCACCACUAAUCGUGGUGGGAGACAGUGUCAGGUGGGCAGUUUGACUGGGGCGGUCGCCUCCUAAAAAGUAACGGAGGCGCCCAAAGGUUCCCUCAGAAUGGUUGGAAAUCAUUCGCAGAGUGUAAAGGCACAAGGGAGCUUGACUGCGAGACAGACAGGUCGAGCAGGGACGAAAGUCGGGCUUAGUGAUCCGGUGGUACCGUAUGGAAGGGCCAUCGCUCAACGGAUAAAAGCUACCCUGGGGAUAACAGGCUUAUCUCCCCCAAGAGUCCACAUCGACGGGGAGGUUUGGCACCUCGAUGUCGGCUCAUCGCAUCCUGGGGCUGUAGUCGGUCCCAAGGGUUGGGCUGUUCGCCCAUUAAAGCGGUACGCGAGCUGGGUUCAGAACGUCGUGAGACAGUUCGGUCCCUAUCCGUCGCGGGCGUAGGAAAUUUGAGAGGACCUGUCCUUAGUACGAGAGGACCGGGAUGGACAUACCUCUGGUGUACCAGUUGUGCCGCCAGGCGCAUCGCUGGGUAGCUACGUAUGGAUGUGAUAAACGCUGAAAGCAUCUAAGUGUGAAACACACCUCGAGAUGAGAUUUCCCAUUCCUUUAUGGAAGUAAGACCCCUGAAAGAUGAUCAGGUAGAUAGGUUAGAAGUGGCAGUGCGGUGACGCAUGAAGCGGACUAAUACUAAUCGGUCGAGGACUUAACCAAG